rnacentral:rRNA from 1 species
CAGGUCUUGACAUCCCUUGACAACUCCAGAGAUGGAGCGUUCCCUUCGGGGACAAGGUGACAGGUGGUGCAUGGUUGUCGUCAGCUCGUGUCGUGAGAUGUUGGGUUAAGUCCCGCAACGAGCGCAACCCUUAUUACUAGUUGCCAGCAUUUAGUUGGGCACUCUAGUGAGACUGCCGGUGACAAACCGGAAGAAGGUGGGGAUGACGUCCAAUCAUCAUGCCCCUUAUGACCUGGGCUACACACGUGCUACAAUGGGGUAUACAACGAGUUGCCAACCCGCGAGGGUGAACUAAUCUCUUAAAGUACGUCUCAGUUCGGAUUGUAGGCUGCAACUCGCCUACCUGAAGUCGGAAUCGCUAGUAAUCGCGGAUCAGCACGCCGCGGUGAAUACGUUCCC